CGGGAGGUUUGAAUUUGAAGACAGGCGGUAAGACGAUGACAGCACCUGUCGGCAGGCCAGGCCAGGCUUCUCCCGAGUGGGGGGACGCUGGAACUGUGGCUUGCCCUGAUUGUUCGAAAAGGGUUUGCCAUGAAUCUUCUGCGUCGGAGUGGGAAACGGCGGCAUUCAGAGUCAGGUUCAGAUUCGUUGUCGGGAAGCGGCAGUGACAGCAGUGCCAGCCUCCAGCUCCUCUCCCGGACCGUGCUGAGCCCGCCGCCGGGCCUGGGUCGCUGCCUGAAGGACCGUGGCCGUCAGUCAGCCGCAAAUGCAGUCAGGCAGAUUUAG
rnacentral:lncRNA from 1 species